GACGAACGCUGGCGGCGUGCCUAAUACAUGCAAGUAGAACGCACAGUUUAUACCGUAGCUUGCUACACCAUAAACUGUGAGUUGCGAACGGGUGAGUAACGCGUAGGUAACCUGCCUGGUAGCGGGGGAUAACUAUUGGAAACGAUAGCUAAUACCGCAUAAUAUUGAUUAUUGCAUGAUAAUUGAUUGAAAGAUGCUAUUGCAUCACUACCAGAUGGACCUGCGUUGUAUUAGCUAGUAGGUGAGGUAACGGCUCACCUAGGCGACGAUACAUAGCCGACCUGAGAGGGUGAUCGGCCACACUGGGACUGAGACACGGCCCAGACUCCUACGGGAGGCAGCAGUAGGGAAUCUUCGGCAAUGGACGAAAGUCUGACCGAGCAACGCCGCGUGAGUGAAGAAGGUUUUCGGAUCGUAAAGCUCUGUUGUAAGAGAAGAACGGGUGUGAGAGUGGAAAGUUCACACUGUGACGGUAUCUUACCAGAAAGGGACGGCUAACUACGUGC
rnacentral:rRNA from 2 species